UUGACAGCCCUGGAGACUGAAACCUGCUGUUCCCAGAGCAGGUAUAGCCAGGGCAGUGGCAGUGCAAACUCCCUGCUUAUCCAGUCCUGUUCUGGAGGGACCCCAGCUCGAGAGGAGAGAGGGCAGUUCAGCCUCCAUUGGGCCUUCAGCCCUUGGCCUGU
rnacentral:sRNA from 1 species